UAAAUAGUCAGGCCGGCUUUUGCUGGUCGCCGACUUCUUAGAGGGACUAUCAGCUUUUAGCUGAUGGAAGUUUGAGGCAAUAACAGGUCUGUGAUGCCCUUAGAUGUUCUGGGCCGCACGCGCGCUACACUGACGGAGCCAGCGAGUAUAUAACCUUGGCCGGAAGGUCUG
rnacentral:rRNA from 1 species